GCACAAGCGGUGGAUGAUGUGGUUUAAUUCGAUGCAACGCGAAAACCUUACCCACCUUUGACAUGUACGGAACCCUCCAGAGAUGGAGGGGUGCUCGAAAGAGAGCCGUAACACAGGUGCUGCAUGGCUGUCGUCAGCUCGUGUCGUGAGAUGUUGGGUUAAGUCCCGCAACGAGCGCAACCCUUGUCAUUAGUUGCUACAUUUAGUUGGGCACUCUAAUGAGACUGCCGGUGACAAACCGGAGGAAGGUGGGGAUGACGUCAAGUCCUCAUGGCCCUUAUAGGUGGGGCUACACACGUCAUACAAUGGCCGGUACAAAGGGCUGCCAACCCGCGAGGGGGAGCCAAUCCCAUAAAACCGGUCGUAGUCCGGAUCGCAGUCUGCAACUCGACUGCGUGAAGUCGGAAUCGCUAGUAAUCGUGGAUCAGAAUGUCACGGUGAAUACGUUCCCGGGUCUU
rnacentral:rRNA from 1 species